AGAAUCUCACACUCAGCCUGCCUCCCACACGUUCCUCUUCCCGCCCAGUCCUAUCAGCUAACUUUUGCCUCUCAGGAUUCAGAUUCAUCUUCUACAGGUUUUUCAACAAGGAAAUGCAUGACCUUUCCAGCCUCUUCAGUCUUCUUCUCGACCUAUGAACAAGUUUUGCAUUUUCUGUCUGAAAGGAGGAUGAAGAGUUUGGCAGAGAAGAAUGUGAAGCGGUGCAAAGCAGGGCUUCUGACAACUGACUUAGCAGUUCUCUUCACUUGCUUGCUAAGGACACGAGUACCUCAACGCCCAAAUCCAGAAAGAGAAGCAGGAAGCGAUGGCGGCCUGCGAAGGACACACCCCUGGACGCCGAGUCCUGGGUUCUUGGGUUCUCAGCCUUCCCACUGCACAGCAGGGAUCUCAGAAUCGUCCCCCUGUGAAUUCUCUCACCCAUAUUCUCAUCCUUCCCACUGUUUUCCCUGCUUCUCCCACUCACCCUAUUCUGGGAAAAUUCCAGAGAUAAACGUGGGAAACCACAGGCUGCCCUUCCUUCGGUGCUUCUGCAUUUCCCAGCGCCCAGGAUCUGCCCGCUGGAUUACAGCAGCUCCUGAAGACCGUUUCUGAUCUGCCUUGGGUGGAACUGGGUGUCCACACGUGUGGGGUCACCACCACAAUCAACAUUUCCACCACCCAAGUGUCACAGUGAUAUCAUGGCCACAUGGCCGUCACCACUGCAACCAUGGACGUGCUUUAGACCUGCAUGGGUCAGACUGGCUUUCAAGAAUUGCAUCUGAAUGGAAUCAGUCACGUUGAGUCUCACUUCUAGGUUUGGAUAAUUUUUUUGAGAUUCAUCCAUGUUGUUAAUGUAUUAGUAGAGUAGCUUUCCCUUGUAUGGAGACCACAGUUUUUAUCCAUUCACUAUUAAUAAACAUUUGAGGUAUUUUCCCCCUAGGUUUUGGCUAUUUUAGGUAAAGGUCCCAUGAACAUGUCUGUAAAGUCUGUGUGUGAUGAUAAGUUGACAUUUAUUUUAAUUAAAUACUUAGGAACCAUGUCCAGCAAUUUUUAAAACUCUCUGUUUGGGGCACCAGGUCUAAAGGGUUGAGUAGAAUAAGUUCUUGGCACAAUAUAUCAUCGCUACUCACGCAAAGCACUCUUCUCCUUUAAUGUAUUUACUUAUUUAUGAAUUGGUUUAUUUAUUCCCUUUCAUCUCCGUCCCCCACACCCCUUCUCUGAUCAGCGAUCUGACACGUGUUUGAUGUCUAGCCAGGGCUGAUAGGGAGUCUCUGAAACACUGCCAUACCCGUUGGUAAAUAGUAGAACCAUGAGCAGUAUAGGAAGUACGAUUCAUCAAUAACGUAAAUGCAGCUUACUCAGGGUGGUGCUUAGUUUUAUAUGAA
rnacentral:lncRNA from 1 species